rnacentral:rRNA from 1 species
CUAGCUACAGGCUUAACACAUGCAAGUCGAGGGGCAGCAUGGUCUUAGCUUGCUAAGGCCGAUGGCGACCGGCGCACGGGUGAGUAACACGUAUCCAACCUGCCGUCUACUCUUGGACAGCCUUCUGAAAGGAAGAUUAAUACAAGAUGGCAUCAUGAGUCCGCAUGUUCACAUGAUUAAAGGUAUUCCGGUAGACGAUGGGGAUGCGUUCCAUUAGAUAGUAGGCGGGGUAACGGCCCACCUAGUCUUCGAUGGAUAGGGGUUCUGAGAGGAAGGUCCCCCACAUUGGAACUGAGACACGGUCCAAACUCCUACGGGAGGCAGCAGUGAGGAAUAUUGGUCAAUGGGCGAGAGCCUGAACCAGCCAAGUAGCGUGAAGGAUGACUGCCCUAUGGGUUGUAAACUUCUUUUAUAAAGGAAUAAAGUCGGGUAUGGAUACCCGUUUGCAUGUACUUUAUGAAUAAGGAUCGGCUAACUCCGUGCCAGCAGCCGCGGUAAUACGGAGGAUCCGAGCGUUAUCCGGAUUUAUUGGGUUUAAAGGGAGCGUAGAUGGAUGUUUAAGUCAGUUGUGAAAGUUUGCGGCUCAACCGUAAAAUUGCAGUUGAUACUGGAUAUCUUGAGUGCAGUUGAGGCAGGCGGAAUUCGUGGUGUAGCGGUGAAAUGCUUAGAUAUCACGAAGAACUCCGAUUGCGAAGGCAGCCUGCUAAGCUGCAACUGACAUUGAGGCUCGAAAGUGUGGGUAUCAAACAGGAUUAGAUACCCUGGUAGUCCACACGGUAAACGAUGAAUACUCGCUGUUUGCGAUAUACUGCAAGCGGCCAAGCGAAAGCGUUAAGUAUUCCACCUGGGGAGUACGCCGGCAACGGUGAAACUCAAAGGAAUUGACGGGGGCCCGCACAAGCGGAGGAACAUGUGGUUUAAUUCGAUGAUACGCGAGGAACCUUACCCGGGCUUAAAUUGCAGAUGAAUUACGGUGAAAGCCGUAAGCCGCAAGGCAUCUGUGAAGGUGCUGCAUGGUUGUCGUCAGCUCGUGCCGUGAGGUGUCGGCUUAAGUGCCAUAACGAGCGCAACCCUUGUUGUCAGUUACUAACAGGUUCCGCUGAGGACUCUGACAAGACUGCCAUCGUAAGAUGUGAGGAAGGUGGGGAUGACGUCAAAUCAGCACGGCCCUUACGUCCGGGGCUACACACGUGUUACAAUGGGGGGUACAGAGGGCCGCUACCACGCGAGUGGAUGCCAAUCCCCAAAACCUCUCUCAGUUCGGACUGGAGUCUGCAACCCGACUCCACGAAGCUGGAUUCGCUAGUAAUCGCGCAUCAGCCACGGCGCGGUGAAUACGUUCCCGGGCCUUGUACACACCGCCCGUCAAGCCAUGGGAGCCGGGGGCACCUGAAGUGCGUAACCGCGAGGAGCGCCCUAGGGUAAAACUGGUGACUGGGGC